UACGUAGGGUGCAAGCGUUAUCCGGAAUUAUUGGGCGUAAAGAGCUCGUAGGCGGUUUGUCGUGUCUGCUGUGAAAACUGGAGGCUCAACCUCCAGCCUGCAGUGGGUACGGGGCAGACUAGAGUGCGGUAGGGGGAGAUUGGAAUUCCUGGUGUAGCGGUGGAAUGCGCAGAUAUCAGGAGGAACACCGAUGCGAAGGCAGAUCUCUGGGCCGUAAC
rnacentral:rRNA from 1 species